rnacentral:rRNA from 1 species
UACGUAGGUGACAAGCGUUGUCCGGAUUUACUGGGCGUAAAGAGCGCGCAGGCGGUCGUUCAAGUCGCGUGUGAAAGCCCCCGGCUCAACUGGGGAGGGUCACGCGAUACUGAUCGACUCGAAGGCAGGAGAGGGAAGUGGAAUCCCGGUGUAGUGGUGAAAUGCGUAGAUAUCGGGAGGAACACCAGUGGCGAAGGCGACUUCCUGGCCU